rnacentral:rRNA from 1 species
AUUGGCAUGGAUUAGGCAUGCAAGUCGAACGCGAAAGAGGGGGUAACCCCUUAAGUAGAGUGGCGAACGGGUGAGUAACGCGUGAGGAACCUGCCUUCAACAGGGGGAUAACACUCCUAACGGGGUGCUAAUACCGCAUGAGACCACGGGGUCGCAUGGCCCUGAGGUCAAAGAUGGCCUCUAUUUAUAAGCUAUCGGUUGGAGAUGGACUCGCGUCCCAUUAGCUAGUUGGCGGUGUAACGGACCACCAAGGCGACGAUGGGUAGCUGGUCUGAGAGGAUGGUCAGCCACACUGGGACUGAGAUACGGCCCAGACUCCUACGGGAGGCAGCAGUCGAGAGGCUUCGGCAAUGGGGGAAACCCUGACCGAGCGACGCCGCCUGAGGGAUGAAGGCCCUUGGGUCGUAAACCUCUUUUGUUCGGGAAGAAACACGAUCAGGUGAAUAAUCUGGUCGUUUGACGGUACCGGACGAGUAAGCUCCGGCUAACUCCGUGCCAGCAGCCGCGGUAAUACGGGGGGAGCAAGCGUUGUUCGGAAUCACUGGGCGUAAAGGGCGUGUAGGCGGCUUGGUAAGUGGGAUGUGAAAUGCCUCGGCUCACCCGAGGACCGGCAUCCCAAACUGCUAAGCUUGAGUAUGGGAGAGGAUGAGGGAAUUCCUGGUGUAGCGGUGAAAUGCGUAGAUAUCAGGAGGAACACCGGUGGCGAAGGCGCUCAUCUGGCCCAAUACUGGCGCUGAGGCGCGAAAGCUAGGGGAGCAAACGGGAUUAGAUACCCCGGUAGUCCUAGCCGUAAACGGUGAUCACUAGGUGUUGGAGGCAUCGACCCCUCCAGUGCCGCAGCUAACGCAUUAAGUGAUCCGCCUGGGGAGUACGGCCGCAAGGUUGAAACUCAAAGGAAUUGACGGGGGCUCACACAAGCGGUGGAAUCACUAGUG